rfam:Deltaproteobacteria bacterium 13_1_40CM_3_69_14 13_1_40cm_3_scaffold_2484, whole genome shotgun sequence.
GCGCCCAUAGCUCAGGUGGAUAGAGCGGCGGUUUCCUAAACCGCAGGCCACAGGUUCGAGUCCUGUUGGGCGCA